rnacentral:misc_RNA from 1 species
UCUCCGUUGGUGAACCAGCGGAGGGAUCAUUACAGGACUCGCAAGACUCCUACAACCCUGUGAACUUAACUAUAAGCACGUUGCUUCGGCGGGUGUCUCGGAGGGGGUUCUCCCUCCCCGAGACGCUAAACCCGCCGGCAGCCUACUAUACUCUGUCUCUUUGCGUUGGCAUCUCGAGUACAAUCAAACAAGUUAAAACUUUCAACAACGGAUCUCUUGGUUCUGGCAUGGAUGAAGAACGCAGC